AGAAAAGAAAAGGAAAAAACAACUUCCCUUGAAGGACACCUGGGUGGCUCAGCGGUUGAGCAUCUGCCCUAGCCCCGGGUCCCAGGAUCGAGUCCUGCGUUGGGCUCCCUGCAGGGAGCCUGAAUCUCCGUCUGCCUGGGUCUCAGCCUCUCUCUGUGUCUCUCAUGAAUAAAUUUAAAAAAAUUUUUUUUAAGAUUUUUAUUUAAGAAAACAUUUGUUAAAUCUCAGUGGGAGUGGGGAGGACCUAGGUUCUUUGUUAUUUACUUUCUGUACUUUUUAUGUUUAAAAUAUGCUAGAAUUUAACAUAAUUUUUAAAAGGAAAAUCUCUGGACUUGGAUAAAUCACUUCAUGAGAAAACAUUUGAUUCUAAAAGGCCGAAAUUUUAACAAAAUUGAACUUGCCCAUGUCUUGGGGGGCAACCUUAACAUGUCCCUGUUCUUUUUUAAGUCAGGCAAAAGAAGACUCAAAAUUGUAGAAAAUAUAAUGAAGCCAUGUACCCUGGAGAUAUUUGAAACGGUUCAUUGCUUGGGACCAAGGAAGAAAACUGAAGGCAUACCAAUCUCGAAAGUCACGAUCCCCUUGGUAGUCCCUGAUCUUUCUUCUAAUAUCUGGAAAAAGGUUCCUACAGUGGCUCCACAACCACCUUCAUUCAAUAGGCAAGCAUUGGAAGAAACUGCUGAUGCCUCUCAUUUCAGCCAGUUCUUUAUCAUCAUUCUUUAUUUGCACACCGGUGCCACUCAAGAAGUAUUCUGAUCUUUUUUAUUCCCAUUUGGAAACUCAACAAGCCCUUAUCAUUUUCCACAUGGUGAAAAAAGUGGCUUUGUCAAGGAAAACUUUGUGUGGACAGAGCGUUUGGUUCUCUGGGCUCAGUAGCAUACCUGGCCAGGCGGCUUUGCUGAAGGCAAUCCACGUGCUGUCAUGACUCAUUGCCCUCAGCAUCCACAGGAAUUGCUUUGUGCCAGCAAUUCUCAAAGGAGUCUUGUUUACUGCCCUGAAAGUCAUCAACUCUAUCAGAGCCUGGUCUGGACCUCAGCCUUUUCAAAAAAUGUUGACUAGAAAAGAGAUCAGAGUAGGAAGCUCUUCUCUGUCGCGUGUAGUCCACUAAGUUUACAAAGAAUACAUCCUAAAGUAUGUGAUUGAACUUCAUGCUUAGGUCGCGUGUGUGCUCUAAAGAGAGACAAACAGACACAGGAACAGAGAGAGAGAGGGAGGGAAGCCUUCUCAGAACAGUUUAAGAGGAGUUCAUUCCUGGUUUUGUUACAUCAUAGGUAUUUCUGACCAUGAGACUAAAGCAGAUCUUCAGAUUUAAGGUCCUACACGGGGUAUUACGGAUACUGCUAAAAGGAACCCACCAACUCACAGCUCAGCACCCUUUGAGGAAGCGAAGACAAUGCGGGCAGCACUUCAGGCUUCCCAAUGAGGAGAAAGACUUCCUGUGGUCAGAAGCCCACUGAGAAAGUCUUCCUAAUUUCUCUACAAGCAGAAAUCUUCAAUACCUCAAAACACCAUAGAAUUCUUCUGCAAGUUACUCUUGAUCCGAUGACUUUGAAAUUAAAACAUGAAUCAGUCAUCCUUUUUGGCCCACAGAAGCUUCAACGAUGUACCUAACCAAAGAUGGUUCCAUUAAUUUACAGUGGUAGUGAUAAGGCACGAAUUCGGCUACCUUCGGAAAUUGCUCCUCAUUUUAAAGUUAAUAUAUAAGCUACAUGAAGAAAAGGAUUGUGAGUCUUUCAUGGACAUUUUGGGGGUGUACGUACUGCGCUCAAGCUUGAUCCAUGCAAGUUACCAUUUAACAAUGAAGAACAAGAAUGAAUGACUGCUCCCGCCUUCAAGGAGCUUGCAGAUGCAAUGAAACGCCGGGACACCUGCACCCCGAUGUUUAUAGCAGCCAUGUCCACAAUAGCCAAACUGUGGAAGGAGCCUCGGUGCCCAUCGAAAGAUGAUGGAUAAAGAAGAUGUGGUUUAUGUAUACAAUGGAAUAUUACUCAGCCAUUAGAAACGACAAAUACCCACCAUUUGCUUCAACGUGGAUGGAACUGGAGGGUAUUAUGCUGAGUGAAGUAAGUCAAUCGGAGAAGGACAAACAUUGUAUGUUCUCAUUCAUUUGGGGAAUAUGAAUAAUA